UGAGUUUGAUCCUGGCUCAGAUUGAACGCUGGCGGCAUGCCUUACACAUGCAAGUCGAACGGUAACGCGGGGCAACCUGGCGACGAGUGGCGAACGGGUGAGUAAUGCAUCGGAACGUGCCCAGUAGUGGGGGAUAGCCCGGCGAAAGCCGGAUUAAUACCGCAUACGACCUACGGGUGAAAGGGGGGGAUCGCAAGACCUCUCGCUAUUGGAGCGGCCGAUGUCAGAUUAGGUAGUUGGUGGGGUAAAGGCCUACCAAGCCGACGAUCUGUAGCUGGUCUGAGAGGACGACCAGCCACACUGGGACUGAGACACGGCCCAGNCUCCUACGGGAGGCAGCAGUGGGGAAUUUUGGACAAUGGGCGCAAGCCUGAUCCAGCCAUGCCGCGUGCGGGAA
rnacentral:rRNA from 1 species